rnacentral:rRNA from 1 species
AUUGAACGCUGGCGGCAGGCCUAACACAUGCAAGUCGAGCGGAUGAAGGAAGCUUGCUUCCUGAUUCAGCGGCGGACGGGUGAGUAAUGCCUAGGAAUCUGCCUAUUAGUGGGGGAUAACUCGGGGAAACUCGGGCUAAUACCGCAUACGUCCUACGGGAGAAAGUGGGGGAUCUUCGGACCUCACGCUAAUAGAUGAGCCUAGGUCGGAUUAGCUAGUUGGUGAGGUAACGGCUCACCAAGGCGACGAUCCGUAGCUGGUCUGAGAGGAUGAUCAGCCACACUGGAACUGAGACACGGUCCAGACUCCUACGGGAGGCAGCAGUGGGGAAUAUUGGACAAUGGGCGAAAGCCUGAUCCAGCCAUGCCGCGUGUGUGAAGAAGGUCUUCGGAUUGUAAAGCACUUUAAGUUGGGAGGAAGGUCUGUAAGCUAAUAUCUUGCAGUCUUGACGUUACCAACAGAAUAAGCACCGGCUAACUCUGUGCCAGCCGCCGCAGUAACAC